GACGAACGCUGGCGGCGUGCUUAACACAUGCAAGUCGAACGGAAAGGCCCUGCUUUUGUGGGGUGCUCGAGUGACGAACGGGUGAGUAACACGUGAGUAACCUGCCCUUGACUUUGGGAUAACUUCAGGAAACUGGGGCUAAUACCGGAUAGGAGCUCCUGCUGCAUGGUGGGGGUUGGAAAGUUUCGGCGGUUGGGGAUGGACUCGCGGCUUAUCAGCUUGUUGGUGGGGUAGUGGCUUACCAAGGCUUUGACGGGUAGCCGGCCUGAGAGGGUGACCGGCCACAUUGGGACUGAGAUACGGCCCAGACUCCUACGGGAGGCAGCAGUGGGGAAUAUUGCACAAUGGGCGGAAGCCUGAUGCAGCAACGCCGCGUGCGGGAUGACGGCCUUCGGGUUGUAAACCGCUUUCGCCUGUGACGAAGCGUGAGUGACGGUAAUGGGUAAAGAAGCACCGGCUAACUACGUGCCAGCAGCCGCGGUGAUACGUAGGGUGCGAGCGUUGUCCGGAUUUAUUGGGCGUAAAGGGCUCGUAGGUGGUUGAUCGCGUCGGAAGUGUAAUCUUGGGGCUUAACCCUGAGCGUGCUUUCGAUACGGGUUGACUUGAGGAAGGUAGGGGAGAAUGGAAUUCCUGGUGGAGCGGUGGAAUGCGCAGAUAUCAGGAGGAACACCAGUGGCGAAGGCGGUUCUCUGGGCCUUUCCUGACGCUGAGGAGCGAAAGCGUGGGGAGCGAACAGGCUUAGAUACCCUGGUAGUCCACGCUGUAAACGGUGGGUACUAGGUGUGGGGUCCAUUCCACGGGUUCCGUGCCGUAGCUAACGCUUUAAGUACCCCGCCUGGGGAGUACGGCCGCAAGGCUAAAACUCAAAGGAAUUGACGGGGCCCCGCACAAGCGGCGGAGCAUGCGGAUUAAUUCGAUGCAACGCGUAGAACCUUACCUGGGUUUGACAUGGAUCGGGAGCGCUCAGAGAUGGGUGUGCCUCUUUUGGGGUCGGUUCACAGGUGGUGCAUGGCUGUCGUCAGCUCGUGUCGUGAGAUGUUGGGUUAAGUCCCGCAACGAGCGCAACCCUUGUUCACUGUUGCCAGCACGUUAUGGUGGGGACUCAGUGGAGACCGCCGGGGUCAACUCGGAGGAAGGUGGGGAUGACGUCAGGUCAUCAUGCCCCUUAUGUCCAGGGCUUCACGCAUGCUACAAUGGCUGGUACAGAGAGUGGCGAGCCUGUGAGGGUGAGCGAAUCUCGGAAAGCCGGUCUCAGUUCGGAUUGGGGUCUGCAACUCGACCUCAUGAAGUCGGAGUCGCUAGUAAUCGCAGAUCAGCAACGCUGCGGUGAAUACGUUCCCGGG
rnacentral:rRNA from 1 species